rnacentral:tRNA from 1 species
UCCUGGGUAGCUCAGUUGGUAGAGCGCUCAACUGGAAUUAGGAAAGCCCCUGGUUCGAUACCAGGAACAGGCG